rnacentral:pre_miRNA from 1 species
AGAGGAAUCUGGAUCAGUGGCAUUGGCUUGCCAAUAUUCUUGUCGCGAGUUCGAUUCCUCCCUA